GCCGGGUGUGGUGACACACACCUGUCGUCCUAGCAGCUCGGGAGGCUGAGGCAGGAGGAUGGUGAGUUCAAAGCCAGCCUCAGCAAAGCGAGGUACUAAGCAACUCAGGGAGACCCUGUCUCUA
rnacentral:sRNA from 1 species